rnacentral:rRNA from 1 species
GAUGAACGCUGGCGGCGUGUCUAAUACAUGCAAGUCGAGCGAACAGACGAGGAGCUUGCUCCUUUGACGUUAGCGGCGGACGGGUGAGUAACACGUAGGUAACCUACCUAUAAGACUGGGAUAACUUCGGGAAACCGGAGCUAAUACCGGAUAAUAUUUCGAACCGCAUGGUUCGAUAGUGAAAGAUGGCUUUGCUAUCACUUAUAGAUGGACCUGCGCCGUAUUAGCUAGUUGGUAAGGUAACGGCUUACCAAGGCAACGAUACGUAGCCGACCUGAGAGGGUGAUCGGCCACACUGGAACUGAGACACGGUCCAGACUCCUACGGGAGGCAGCAGUAGGGAAUCUUCCGCAAUGGGCGAAAGCCUGACGGAGCAACGCCGCGUGAGUGAUGAAGGUCUUCGGAUCGUAAAACUCUGUUAUUAGGGAAGAACAAACGUGUAAGUAACUGUGCACGUCUUGACGGUACCUAAUCAGAAAGCCACGGCUAACUACGUG